rnacentral:tRNA from 1 species
AUUUAUUUAGUAUAUAAAGUACACUUGACUUCCAAUCAAAAAGAUUGAUAUAUUCAAAGUAAAUA